rnacentral:rRNA from 1 species
AACGAAUGCUGGCGGCAUGCCUAACACAUGCAAGUCGAACGAGACCUUCGGGUCUAGUGGCGCACGGGUGCGUAACGCGUGGGAACCUGCCCUUAGGUUCGGAAUAACUCCCCGAAAGGGGUGCUAAUACCGGAUAAUGUCUUCGGACCAAAGAUUUAUCGCCUUUGGAUGGGCCCGCGUUGGAUUAGCUAGUUGGUAGGGUAAAAGCCUACCAAGGCGACGAUCCAUAGCUGGUCUGAGAGGAUGAUCAGCCACACUGGGACUGAGGCACGGCCCAGACUCCUGCGGGAGGCAGCAGUGGGGAAUAUUGGACAAUGGGCGAAAGCCUGAUCCAGCAAUGCCGCGUGAGUGAUGAAGGCCUUAGGGUUGUAAAGCUCUUUUACCCGGGAUGAUAAUGACAGUACCGGGAGAAUAAGCUCCGGCUAACUCCGUG